GGGGGGGCUGUCCGUGUGGGCGGAGGAUGAGAGGGAAACAUCCGUCGACGCCGGCCAAAUGGAUCUUGGAUGUUAUCGCUGCCUCGGAAAGGAGGGAUGGAAGGGGCUGAAAGAAGGACGGACGGACGGGACAAUGGAUACACUGUCCGGAGCGGGAGCGGGAAAGAGAAGACUGCAAACGAGGAAUUCCUUCCGUCCUGCGAACGUCGAGUCGGCUCCGAAACGCGGAGCGAUGCGGUAAACAACAACAGAGAUACAGUAAACAACCACAGGACCACGCUGGUCACGUGGUGCCUUCAGAGCUCCGAGCGCGCGCUCAGCUGCCGUUCACCGUUGACCUCUGAACUCUCCUGGCAGCCCCCGAGACGGAGGAGAAGGGGGGGGUGGGGUUAUCCCGGGGAUUUGGGAAGCACCGGGACCCGACACCCAUGGGAGCAGAGGGAGGGGGUGAUUCUAACCCCUGACAGAGGAAUGUAAAGCCGUGGCCUAAAUCAACUGGACCCACCCUUCUCCCGGAGGAUUGUGGGUAAUUCCGGCGGCCUGUGGAUCCAAAGAUAUCCGAUAAAAGAAAAACGAAUCAAGCCGCUAACGACACCAAAGCAAAAUGAACACGCAGGAGAUGAAAAUGCAUAAAUGGAAUAUACUUUUUUUUUUUAUCCUUUUGGUUCGUGACAAGGACCAUGUAGUGAAAACGCCUAAAAAGGACCUGCGGGGAUUUACAAUAUUUUUGUUCUUAUUUGUUGUUUUUUUUACAAGUAGCUCCUCCUUUGUAAGACAGCUCCAAUGAACCCCUUGAGACGCUCUAGUGCCUCUGUAGCGCGUGUGAAGGGAUCCCUAGAGGACUCAGGCCCGUCUUUGUCCCUGAGAAUGAAACUCUGAAGACUGUUUGGAAUAACAAACGGACACAGAGAAAGACAUCACUCUGCCGUUUUAAAGAAGGAGGAACACAACAAAGGAAGGAGGAGGAAGGAGAGAUCGAGAGGGGGGAGGAGAGAGGAUGUGGGCUUUGAAUGGCGGAGAAUUUAACCUAAAGCGAGAGGGAUUAGAGAGAUGGAGACUAAACUUCCACUCUAUCUCUCUCACUCUCUCUCUUUAUCUAUCUCUUACGAGUGGUAUGCAGUGCGUCAUGUUUGACAUGCAAAGCAGGUCAAUCAUGACUGUUUUUAAAAGGGCAUUCCUUUUAAAAACACACACCUGCAUCCAAAGACACAAACAUACACACACACAUGCACACAGAUACACACAGAUACACACAGACACAUGUGCGACGAAACCCAAAUAAAAGCAUUUGCAUGCACAAACAUACCGCAAGCCUUGGACUUCUGAAAGAAUCGCGCGUUUACGCAAAAACAAGCGAGGACGUAAUGUAAAUGUAGGCGUGUGCAGACAGAUGCACGUGCAAACACGCCUCACCGUCCCUCCACAUUCUCAUACGAACGCACACGCCCAUGAGGGGAACUAUAGUUAACGUGCACUAUCAUCAGGAGUGCAAAGAGGGAGAGACAAACAGAGAGAGACAAACUGAGAGAGACAGAGAGAAAGAGACAGCAAGGGAUAGACAGAGAGACAGAUUGACUUAAGAGAGAGUUGCACGUUUGGUGUGUUGAGACAUGGGGCGAUCGGGAAGAUACCCAGAGACAAGAAACAUGCAGCACAGGGAACCAUCUCGCCCCUGAAAGGCCUCUAUGUCUCUCCUACACACGCACCCUAACUCACUCAAACUGUUAGGGCAGACACAGUAGGGGUCCGGAACACAUGGCAGUAGUCUCUCUAUCACCCUCUCUCUCUAGCAAACACACAGAGACACACACAUUUAUCCAACGUGUCCAACCUCCCUCUACCAUCUGGGAGCUGUCAGUGAUACAUCAGAGUGUGUGUGUGUGUGUGUGUGUGUGUGUGUGUGUGUGUGUGUGUGUGUGUGUGUGUGUGUGUGUGUGUGUGUGUGUGUGUGUGUGUGUGUGUGAAAUGAGGUCAGACAAACAUACACACUCGGAUGUCUCUCCAGGGACGCAGCGAUCAAUUAGUUUAACCUGACAGUAAAGGCCCCUGUGUAAUCCCUAUGUCUCUCGCCCGCUCGCUUUCUCCCAUUCACUCAUACGCCCACACACUAACAGAUCAUGAGAUGGGAACAGAAAAAAAACUCCAUACAUUUUCCCGAUCCCCUUCCUGUGUUUAAUGUCAUAAACUGAUACGCAUACUUCCUUUUACAACACUAAAGUAAAUCCCGUAAUCCGAAGAAAGGAAUAUCUCAAAAUCCUGACGUAAUGUUUUGAACCAAUUCUCUUUUGUUUUAAUGCCGUGCCAACUGUAAAAAAAAAUUAAAACCACUCUGAACCUAAUGAUGUUACAUAGUUUCAGAUUGAACAUGUCACCGCUAUUACUGACCAGAGACUCAACUCUCAAGAGGUACAACUGAUUCACACAGUUGGUAACCAUGUCAAUCAAACCCAUUUCCCGACUAGUUGAUUUGAAUGUAUUUUUAUCUCCAUGUUAUCUAAUUUGAGGGAUAUUCAUUCAAGGUUGUGUACAGAAAAGUGGGUUGUACAUGCGUUUGUGCAAGUUUGUGUUCUUUUUUUAUAUUUUGAACUGUCUGUUAAACGACGGAUGCAAAGCGUUAGUUUGUCUGCCGUUCAUUAACGUUAAAACGCAGCGACAAACUGUAGAGACCCCGCUUUAACUGUGACAUGAAACAAGCUGCCAUAGACCCUGUUCAAAGAAAAUGAAUGAUAAGUCAUACUUUAUUAAUUCAUCAUCGAUAAUGAAUACUAAUUGGCUUGGCCUACACAAAGGACAACAAACAAAAAGUGGUCGGAUAAUUUGGGGAAAGCAUUAGCCUUUGCGGUAAUUAUUGUGAAAAAAUUUGCGUCAGUCAGUGUGUGACCCAGGUAUGCUAUCCCUAGAUGCUAGUUGGCAGUUUAUAAUGUGUCUGUGUUGUGCUUGCGUGGCCCUUGCAUCUAAAUUGCUCUACUCUGUGUGUAAUUACAUCCAAUGAGACUGAUUGUUGUCGUCCCCCCCCCCUCCUAAACCUCCGCGACCCACUGUGUCUGCGCCUUAUAUAUAAACCCCAGGGCUAAUUCCAUGUAGCAUCGAAGCUAAUGGUUACCAGACCACAAGCCACUGACUUCCUCUAUCACUUGCCCGCGAUCUGACCUUGCCGCCUCAAUUAUCGCACUUAGUAGUUCCUUCUAUGCUAGCUGCAAAACAACAAGUGAUUCAGACUGUUUCCAAACUGUUUAAAUUAAUUUAUAAAUAAAUUGUGUUCGUUUUUGAGGUCAGUGCCGCACAUUUUCAUUUUCUUUUUAGUAGUUCCCAUGAGUUAAGGAAGCCAGUAGCCAGACGUUUGCCGUCCCCUGCAGUAACUUCGGUUUAUUUCACAUAUAUUUAACCGUUAGCAGACUGCCGAUUUAAAAUAGGUUCAGAAAGUUUGCCUAACAUUAUUUUGGCGGGUCACCAACAAUGGUUUGGCGGUUCCUGAAUUGAAUUAGGUGGGUUCCUUUGGCUCGUGAAACCAGGGGCAUUCCGCAACUGCGGUAGUUUCACCGUUUAUUCAGCGCAGAGCAAACAAAGAGCAAUGGAAAGAAGACAGAUUGUGAUUGGGCUACGAAGACUUUGCGUUUGCCAUCGCCUCUAGCGCAGAACAAUCCAGUUCACUGGGAACAUGUGAUCCUAGCAUCGUCACGGCGACAGCCAAGGUUUGAAACCCAACAGGCUCGACUGCGCUGCGCAGGCCAACUCUUUGUUGCAGUGAUUGGACAUUGUUGUUCUUUCUUGCAUUUCGCCCUAAAGAAGGAAAGGUUGACAAAUGAGGCUGGCUAAGGGAGGGUAACAUCUGUUGAGCAGCUGGCAACCUGUCAAGAGUAUAAACACAUUCUCAGAGGCAACAAACACAACAGGCUGUUGAGUAUCAGGAAUCCAUUCUAAAUGUCACUACCAAGCCCUCUUUAUAGAUCGCUGUGCAAGCACACACACACACACUUGAUAACUUAUAAACACACAGACGCACGCUAACUUACAGAUAACAACACACACACAGUGGCAUGUAAGUAAGGUCAAACAUUCACACAAAUGCCCUGAGGACAUAUUUUACAAUUAAACACAAUUACAUUACAGCCACAGUUUUCUACCAGUGGUCACUGGGAGCUGCCCAGUAAAAUAAUCGCCUCAUCAGUCUUAUGAUAUUUAACCACUCACAAACCAUUUGCACUCCUUGCCACCCUGAAAUACUGUGGAUGUCUCUUUAAAUGUGCCUUCUAAAUUCUCCCAUCCGUUGCCUCUGCUUCUUGCCUAUUGGAGGGCUUAGGGCCAGGGGGCGUGGCAUAUCUACCUGUGUAAUGUGAUAAAGCGCAACAGUAUACAAAUACACUACACUUCCAGUGCCUCCAUUCACUUGCCUUAUUUUUAUCAAAAGAACUACAUUUCCCAGCUGGUCCGGGGAUUAUAACAAACUGCUUUUUUUAAGUUUGGAAACAUGGCCACCACUAAGCCAGCCACUUUCACUGCAAUCAUUAUAGAUUUUUUAAUGCAAUUCCAUUUAUAUUUGCAUUUUUUUAUUUGUGAGUGUGAGAAAUUAAGAGAGGGGAAGAUAGAGAAAGUAAGGGAAGAUAUAAGAUACAAUGCAGUGAAUUUUGUUCCCUGAACAUUAAAAUUGUAUUUGAACUUUCCUGGUGUUUAGAACAAACUGAAUCACUCUAAAUUCUUGUACAUUUUACUAUUCUCAUUGAUUUCUUCUAAAAGCCACACUAUUCCAUUAAACACUGAUAACUGAAUGUCAAUAUUAAGAUGUGCUUCUUUUAUUUUCUGUGAAAUUCUUUCGUUACCACUUGAGGAAUGUACAUGUAAAGAUGUGUUGAUAGAUGAAAAUGUGUUUUUAAAAUAUUGUCUUUGAUUUCAGAUUUUCCUUUGUGCUCAAAUAAUUAAAAAUGUGCCUUUUGUCAGACAAGAA
ensembl:lncRNA